AUCCGUGCGUCAGAACGAACGCUGGCGGCGCGCUUAAGCAUGCAAGUCGGACGGCAAGGGUUGUGCUUGCACAACUCCUAGAGUGGCGGACUGGUGAGUAACGCGUGGGUGACCUGCCCUCGAGAUGGGAUAGCCAUUAGAAAUAGUGGAUAAUACCGAAUACGCUCAUGACCCUGUGGGGAGUAUGAGGAAAACAGGCUACGGCCUGGCUCGAGGAUGGGCCCGCGUCCCAUUAGCUAGUUGGUGAGGUAACGGCCCACCAAGGCGACGAUGGGUAUCCGGCCUGAGAGGGUGUACGGACACAUUGGGACUGAGAUACGGCCCAAACUCCUACGGGAGGCAGCAGCUAAGAAUAUUCCGCAAUGGACGAAAGUCUGACGGAGCGACGCCGCGUGGAUGAAGAAGGCCGGAAGGUUGUAAAAUCCUUUUGAAACUGAAGAAUAAGCGUUGUAGGGAAUGACAGCGUGGUGACAGUAGGUUUUGAAUAAGCAACGGCUAAUUACGUGCCAGCCGCUGC
rnacentral:rRNA from 1 species